rnacentral:rRNA from 1 species
AUUGAACGCUGGCGGCAGGCCUAACACAUGCAAGUCGAGCGGUAGCAGGAAGCUGGUUCCUGCUUCGCGGACCGGACGGGGGCGGGAGAGUAAUGACUCGGAAUGUGCGUGGUGGAUAACGUCCGGUACUGGGCGCGAUUACCAAUACCGCCCUGUGGGGGAAAGCGAAAAACGUGGGACUUCACGCUACUAGAUGACCCUAGGUCGGAUUAGCUAGUUGGUGGGGUAAAGGCUUACCAAGGCGACGAUCCGUAACUGGUCUGAGAGGAUGAACAGUCACACUGGAACUGAGACACGGUCCAGACUCCUACGGGAGGCAGCAGUGGGGAAUAUUGGACAAUGGGCGCAAGCCUGAUCCAGCCAUGCCGCGUGUAUGAAGAAGGUCUUCGGAUUGUAAAGUACUUUCAGUUGGGAGGAAGGGCAGUAAGUUAAUACCUUGCUUUUUUGACGUUACCCACAGAAUAAGCACCGGCUAACUUCGUG